UGAAUGUCUAUGAUUUGGGGUUCUGU
rnacentral:piRNA from 1 species